rnacentral:rRNA from 1 species
CAAAAUGCGAUACUUGGUGUGAAUUGCAGAAUCCCGUGAACCAUCGAGUUUUUGAACGCAAGUUGCGCCCAAAGCCAUUCGGCCGAGGGCACGUCUGCCUGGGCGUCACG